rnacentral:rRNA from 1 species
AUCUUGGACAAUGGGGGCAACCCUGAUCCAGCCAUGCCGCGUGUGCGAUGAAGGCCCUAGGGUUGUAAAGCACUUUUGGCGGGGAAUACGAUGAAGGUACCCGCAGAAUAAGUCACGGCUAACUUCGUGCCAGCAGCCGCGGUAAUACGAAGGUGGCGAAUGAUACUCGGAUUUACUGGGCGUAAAGCGUCCGCAGGUGGUUUAUCAAGUUAGGUGUGAAAUCCCCGUGCUCAACAUGGGAACUGCACUUAAAACUGAUUCACUAGAAGGCAGGAGAGGUAGGUAGAAUUCUCGGUGUAGAGGUGAAAUUCGUAGAUAUCGAGAGGAAUACUCAUGGCGAAGGCAGCCUACUGGUCUGUUCUUGACACUCAUGGACGAAAGCGUGGGGAGCAAACAGG